rnacentral:tRNA from 1 species
UGUUCUGUGGCGAACUUGAACAACGCGCCCUGUCUAGCGGAUUGGGAAGACGUGGGUUCAAAUCCCACCAGAACUA